CUGUGCCAGCAGCCGCGGUAUACAGAGGGUGCAAGCGUUGUUCGGAAUCAUUGGGCGGUAAAACGAGUGUAGGCGGUCGAAAAGGUACGGGUGUGAAAUACCCAGGGCUUAACCCUGGAACUGCAUUCGAACCGUUCGACUUGAGUACGGGAGAGGGUCGUGGAAUUGUCGGUGUAGAGGUGAAAUUCGUAGAUAUCGGCAAGAACAUCAGUGGCGAAGGCGACGACCUGGUCCGAUACUGACGCUCAGACUCGAAAGCGUGGGGAGCAAACAGGAUUAGAUACCCUGGUAGUCCACGCUGUAAACGAUGCUCACUGGAUAAUGUGCUACUUUCGUGGUGCAUUGUCGAAGCUAACGCGUUAAGUGAGCCGCCUGGGGGAGUACGGUCGCAAGAUUAAAACUCAAAGGAAUUGACGGGGGGCCCGCACAAGCAGUGG
rnacentral:rRNA from 1 species